AAGUCUUCAAGUCUUCGUUGUUUACAGUUUUCAGCUGGUCCCUUGUUUACAGUUUUCAAGUCUUCGUUGUACUUUUGUAAAGCCUCAAAUGGACUAAUUGAGUUCCUGAUUGAUUGCAGUUAGUCGCUAAUAUACUCUUCAAUAUAAGUACAGAUGCAGUCAAACAACUUCGUCCAAUGGGUGACAUCUUCUCUAAAGUAGUUCUCUUACUCCAGUUUGCUCAUAAUUAAAAGACAAUUGGAGCCACCUAGGCAAGCUUCCAUGGAUACAGAAUGGAUAUAUUAUCCCAGAAACUCUGAAACCUACCAUGCUGGAGCCCAAUUGUAUGUUGAUAGACUUCACACCAGCUUGGGGAAUCCAGCUAUCAUGCAAUGCCCUUGUCGCCUCUGCAAUAAUAUGCAGUGGCAUUCCCCUAAGUUAGUUUUUGGUCACUUGUGCAUGAAUGAGAUCCAUCCUCUUCAUGUUAGUCGGAUCUUACAUGGUGAGAAGUCGAGAACAUAUGUACAAGAAG